rfam:Nematostella vectensis strain CH2 x CH6 NEMVEscaffold_809_Cont33103, whole genome shotgun sequence.
GCACUGGUGGUUCAGUGGUAGAAUUCUCGCCUGCCACGCGGGAGGCCCGGGUUCGAUUUCCAGCCAGUGCA